rnacentral:rRNA from 1 species
UUGACAUCCAGCGAACUUUCCAGAGAUGGAUUGGUGCCUUCGGGAACGCUGAGACAGGUGCUGCAUGGCUGUCGUCAGCUCGUGUUGUGAAAUGUUGGGUUAAGCCCCGCAACGAGCGCAACCCUUAUCCUUUGUUGCCAGCGAUUCGGUCGGGAACUCAAAGGAGACUGCCGGUGAUAAACCGGAGGAAGGUGGGGAUGACGUCAAGUCAUCAUGGCCCUUACGAGUAGGGCUACACACGUGCUACAAUGGCGCAUACAAAGAGAAGCGACCUCGCGAGAGCAAGCGGACCUCAUAAAGUGCGUCGUAGUCCGGAUCGGAGUCUGCAACUCGACUCCGUGAAGUCGGAAUCGCUAGUAAUCGUGGAUCAGAAUGCCACGGUGAAUACGUUCCCGGGCCUUGUACACACCGCCCGUCACACCAUGGGAGUGGGUUGCAAAAGAAGUAGGUAGCUUAACCUCCGGGAGGGCGCUUACCACUUUGUGAUUCAUGACUGGGGUGAAGUCGUAACAAGGUAAGCGUAGCGAG